rnacentral:rRNA from 1 species
GACGAACGCUGGCGGCGUGCUUAACACAUGUAAGUCGAACGAUGAAGCGGGUGCUUGCACUCGUGGAUUAGUGGCGAACGGGCGAGUAACACGUGAGUAACCUGUCCUUUUCUUUGGGAUAACGGCUGGAAACGGCUGCUAAUACUGGAUAUUCAGGCUGCAUCGCAUGGUGUGGUUUGGAAAGGUUUUUUCUGGGAUUGGGUGGGCUCGCGGCCUAUCAGCUUGUUGGUGGGGUGAUGGCUUACCAAGGCUUUGACGGGUAGCCGGCCUGAGAGGGUGGUCGGUCGCACUGGGGCUGAGAUACGGCCCAGACUCCUACGGGAGGCAGCAGUGGGGAAUAUUGCACAAUGGACGAAAGUUUGAUGCAGCGACGCCGCGUGGAGGGUGUAGGCCUUCGGGUUGUGAACUCCUUUUUCUCGCGAAAAAGGCACAGUUUUGGCUGUGUUGAUGGUAGUGGGGGAAGAAGCGCCGGCUAACUACGUG